rnacentral:lncRNA from 1 species
UUAACACUACAAUGACCAUGUAUCCAAAAAUCAUCUGAGAAACAUUAAUGGUGGUUUCUCUUAGAAAAGGGUUCUUAAUAUUUUUGAAAGUUUGUGAAAUCAAAUAGGGAAAAUGGGAAAUGCAUAAGGGGAGAAAGAGAAAAGAAAUGGAGGAGGGGUAGAAUGAGAGAUGGUAAUUGUAGAAAGAGAAUGACAAGGGCGACGGGUGGAGCAAAG